GGAAGUGAGGGUGUCACCCCGUUGAUUCCCACGGUGGAUUCAGCUGAUCUAUCUGACUCGGUGGAUAUCCCCCUCCUCCUUCACUGAUCCAUGUGUGACCUCCCAAAGCUGCACACUCAGUGAAAGGGGAUGGCUUUCCCUUAAUAGAAACAGACCAUUCUUCAGUGGAGGGUGUACAAGUGACUUUGCUCUGCUGCUAGAACUGUCACAAAGCUCCCAAUAGGGUUCAUGGAAAGAUAUCAAAUUGAUUAUACAUUUCUACAUUUGUCUCUGU
rnacentral:snRNA from 1 species